rnacentral:rRNA from 1 species
UGGGACCUAUGGGGGGGCAGCAGUGGGGAAUAUUGCACAAUGGGCGCAAGCCUGAUGCAGCCCUGCCGCGUGUAUGAAGAAGGCCUUCGGGUUGUAAAGUACUUUCAGCGGGGAGGAAGGGAGUAAAGUUAAUACCUUUGCUCAUUGACGUUACCCGCAGAAGAAGCACCGGCUAACUCCGUGCCAGCAGCCGCGGUAAUACGGAGGGUGCAAGCGUUAAUCGGAAUUACUGGGCGUAAAGCGCACGCAGGCGGUUUGUUAAGUCAGAUGUGAAAUCCCCGGGCUCAACCUGGGAACUGCAUCUG